rnacentral:misc_RNA from 1 species
UGCUUGUUUGCUGUCCUGUACAGAUUUUUAGGCCUGAUACUUCUGAGUUCUGUCUCUGCAUUGAGAAGUAUAGCAGUUUUGACCAAGAGAAGAGAAAAGAACAGUUAAUAAGCAUCGGAUCUUAUUUUGCAUGAAGAUUCGUGAGAUGAGGACCCUUAUUUUCAGCUGGUAAGUUUGCUGGAGAUUUACUUGGUUGCUGUUGUCAUACCACUAUACAUACAGAUGUAUGAGCGUGUUGCAAUUGUGUU